UGUCCGCCCGGGAAUUACGAGCCUAGCUUAAAACCCAAAGGACUUGGCGGUGCUUAAGAUCCACCUAGAGGAGCCUGUUCUAUAACCGAUAACCCCCGUUCAACCUCACCCCUUCUUGCUCAUACCGUCUAUAUACCGCCGUCGUCAGCCUACCCUGUGAAGGUCUAAUAGUAAGCGCAAUUGGCACAGCCCAAAACGCCAGGUCGAGGUGUAGCAUAUGAAGGGGGAAGAAAUGGGCUACAUUCUCUAUUUAAGAGUAAACGAACAAAGAGUUGAAAGACUCUUUAGAAGGAGGAUUUAGUAGUAAGAAGUGAACAGAGCGCACUCCUGAAAUCGGCCCUAAAGCGCGUACACACCGCCCGUCACC
rnacentral:rRNA from 1 species